rnacentral:rRNA from 1 species
AUUCCGAAAGGGGUCCGAAAGCGACUUGAUUUUUUUAGAUCUCGUUUCUUUUGGCAGUCUGAUGAGGCCAAGAGGAAAUACCGUCUCACGCGAUGGGAUAUCCUUUGUCGACCUAAAGACCAAGGGGGCCUCGGUAUUGAGAACUUGGAAAUUAAGAAUAAAUGUCUUAUGAGCAAAUGGUUGUACAGGUUAGAGACAGAGCCGAAGGGCAUGUGGUCUCAAAUCCUGCGCAAUAAGUAUUUGCACUCGAAAACGCUAGCCCAGGUUACCAUCAGACCGACUGAUUCGCCGUUCUGGAAGGGACUUAUGAGAACGAAGGAUAUGUUCUUUCGUAGGGUCAAAUUCUUGGUUAGCAACGGGAUGUCAACAAGAUUUUGGGAGGAUACGUGGUUAGGAGAGACGCCUCUGGCCUUACAAUAUCCCACCCUCUACAAU